CCUACGGGUGGCUGCAGUGGGGAAUAUUGCACAAUGGGCGCAAGCCUGAUGCAGCCAUGCCGCGUGUGUGAAGAAGGCCUUCGGGUUGUAAAGCACUUUCAGCGGGGAGGAAGGCGGUGAGGUUAAUAACCUCAUCGAUUGACGUUACCCGCAGAAGAAGCACCGGCUAACUCCGUGCCAGCAGCCGCGGUAAUACGGAGGGUGCAAGCGUUAAUCGGAAUUACUGGGCGUAAAGCGCACGCAGGCGGUCUGUCAAGUCGGAUGUGAAAUCCCCGGGCUCAAGCUGGGAACUGCAUUCGAAACUGGCAGGCUAGAGUCUUGUAGAGGGGGGUAGAAUUCCAGGUGUAGCGGUGAAAUGCGUAGAGAUCUGGAGGAAUACCGGUGGCGAAGGCGGCCCCCUGGACAAAGACUGACGCUCAGAUGCGAAAGCGUGGGGAGCAAACAGGAUUAGAUACCCCGGUAGUC
rnacentral:rRNA from 1 species